UACGUAGGGUGCAAGCGUUUGUCCGGAAUUAUUGGGCGUAAAGAGCUCGUAGGCGGUUUGUCGCGUCGGGAGUGAAAUCCACUGGCUUAACUGGUGGCUUGCUUUCGAUACGGGCAGACUGGAGGUAUGCAGGGGAGAACGGAAUUCCUGGUGUAGCGGUGAAAUGCGCAGAUAUCGGGAGGAACACCGGUGGCGAAGGCGGUUCUCUGGGCCUGUUCUGACGCUGAGGAGCGAAAGCGUGGGGAGCGAACAGG
rnacentral:rRNA from 1 species